rnacentral:rRNA from 1 species
UUAUGGGGCCAUACUGCCCUGAGCACACCCCAUCUCCUCUGAUCUUGGAAGCUGGGCAAGGUUGGGCCUGGUUAGUACUUGAAUGGGAGAAUUAGGGGAAGGCUUUCCAGGCAGAGGGCAUAGC